rnacentral:ncRNA from 1 species
UGGCAAUGAAGUAGCAGACUGGUUUGGCAUUAGCUGCUUGCGGAGCCAGACCAUGAGGUAAACGGAAACCACAAGCCGAAUAGAUUCAACGAAUCGAAAGAAAACGCUUGAU